rnacentral:rRNA from 1 species
CAGGAUGAACGCUGGCGGCGUGCUUAACACAUGCAAGUCGAACGAUGAUCUCCAGCUUGCUGGGGGGAUUAGUGGCGAACGGGUGAGUAACACGUGAGUAACCUGCCCUUGACUCUGGGAUAAGCCUGGGAAACUGGGUCUAAUACCGGAUAUGACUCCUCAUCGCAUGGUGGGGGGUGGAAAGCUUUUUGUGGUUUUGGAUGGACUCGCGGCCUAUCAGCUUGUUGGUGAGGUAAUGGCUCACCAAGGCGACGACGGGUAGCCGGCCUGAGAGGGUGACCGGCCACACUGGGACUGAGACACGGCCCAGACUCCUACGGGAGGCAGCAGUGGGGAAUAUUGCACAAUGGGCGCAAGCCUGAUGCAGCGACGCCGCGUGAGGGAUGACGGCCUUCGGGUUGUAAACCUCUUUCAGUAGGGAAGAAGCGAAAGUGACGGUACCUGCAGAAGAAGCGCCGGCUAACUACGUGCCAGCAGCCGCGGUAAUACGUAGGGCGCAAGCGUUAUCCGGAAUUAUUGGGCGUAAAGAGCUCGUAGGCGGUUUGUCGCGUCUGCCGUGAAAGUCCGGGGCUCAACUCCGGAUCUGCGGUGGGUACGGGCAGACUAGAGUGAUGUAGGGGAGACUGGAAUUCCUGGUGUAGCGGUGAAAUGCGCAGAUAUCAGGAGGAACACCGAUGGCGAAGGCAGGUCUCUGGGCAUUAACUGACGCUGAGGAGCGAAAGCAUGGGGAGCGAACAGGAUUAGAUACCCUGGUAGUCCAUGCCGUAAACGUUGGGCACUAGGUGUGGGGGACAUUCCACGUUUUCCGCGCCGUAGCUAACGCAUUAAGUGCCCCGCCUGGGGAGUACGGCCGCAAGGCUAAAACUCAAAGGAAUUGACGGGGGCCCGCACAAGCGGCGGAGCAUGCGGAUUAAUUCGAUGCAACGCGAAGAACCUUACCAAGGCUUGACAUGAACCGGAAAGACCUGGAAACAGGUGCCCCGCUUGCGGUCGGUUUACAGGUGGUGCAUGGUUGUCGUCAGCUCGUGUCGUGAGAUGUUGGGUUAAGUCCCGCAACGAGCGCAACCCUCGUUCUAUGUUGCCAGCACGUGAUGGUGGGGACUCAUAGGAGACUGCCGGGGUCAACUCGGAGGAAGGUGGGGACGACGUCAAAUCAUCAUGCCCCUUAUGUCUUGGGCUUCACGCAUGCUACAAUGGCCCGGUACAAAGGGGUUGCGAUACUGUGAGGUGGAGCUA